CUACGGGUGGCUGCAGUGGGGAAUCUUGCGCAAUGGGCGAAAGCCUGACGCAGCAACGCCGCGUGGGGGAAGAAGGCCUUCGGGUUGUAAACCUCUUUCAGUAGGGACGAAGCUUCCGGGGUUAAUAGCCUACGGGGUGACGGUACCUACAGAAGAAGCCCCGGCUAACUACGUGCCAGCAGCCGCGGUAAUACGUAGGGGGCAAGCGUUGUCCGGAAUCAUUGGGCGUAAAGCGCGUGUAGGCGGCUUGGUAAGUCUGGCGUGAAAUCUUGGGGCUCAACCCCAAGCGUGCGCUGGAUACUGCCUCGCUCGAGUCCGGGAGAGGAAAGCGGAAUUCCCAGUGUAGCGGUGAAAUGCGCAGAUAUUGGGAAGAACACCGGUGGCGAAGGCGGCUUUCUGGAACGGUACUGACGCUGAGACGCGAAAGCGUGGGGAGCAAACAGGAUUAGAUACCCUGGUAGUC
rnacentral:rRNA from 1 species